CGGCCAGCGCCGGGCACGGCGUCCUCCCCCGGAAUGCGGGCAGGUGUCUCUGCGUUCUCUCGCCUGGAGGAAUUCCCAGCCAGGGAUUCUUUUCCACUGUUCAUGGAGGAAGUAUGACAGAUGAGAACAAGAAGCUAAAAUGGUCUGAGAGUGCUGAAUGUAAGCCCUCAAUAGGAAGAAAACUGCCCUGUCAUCAAUCUCAACAGUUUGCAUGAAGACUUCUAGCUAAAGGCAGACAUCAAAUAUUUGCUGCUACUAAAGAAAAGGAACAGUCCUCUUCCUUUUCAAGGAGUUAUCAAUGUUCUCAGAGAUUACUAGAAGCACAGGUCUACACAAAACAGAAUGAAAAUUGUUUCUACCCAGGACUCGAAUGCAGUCAAGAGUGUUCAGCUUCCUUCUGCCCACGUGAGGAAUUCAGCUGUGGGCACAUGAACUUCUAUUUCUGAAGGUUUACUGCUGGCUCCCAGCCCAGCUCUGACUCCAGUGAGCAGAUCCAGAUCUUUUUACAUGUCCUUGCCUGUGCGUCCUAGAACGUGGUCAUCAAACUACAAAAGGAACUUUUUUUUACACACCUGUGAUUCCCUAAGAGCUCACUUUGUUGUUUUCUGAAAGAUACUAUAGAUCUCAACCAUAGUGGGGAAUGAGUCAAGUGGAUAUUAUUAUGAACAAUGUGAUUAGCCAUGUUAUUUUGACAAUACUUUAGUCUCACAACAUAUGUAUAUGUACAUGUAUAUGUAUAUGUUGGUGAGGUAUUUCUU